GGAAUUCUGGCUACUUCCUGAGAUUAAUUUCCACCCAUUAUUACAUGAGUUUGUCGUGAAGGACUGUGGAGGUUUCGCUGUGUCCUGUUGCUGCUCUCGUUUUUUGUUUUGUUUUGUUUUGUUUUUUUGCCUAAAGACUGGUGUACUAGAGGGCCAACUGUGAGACGACCCCCAAAACAAGAAUGGCUUUACCGGCGGUGACAACUGGAUCACCCCCAAGACAGACAGUCAGUCACUGGAUGAGAACAUCAACCAGCAAAACUUUCCUGCUUAUUAUUACUGUUAUUAUAGCAAUACUGUUGCAAUCCUUAUAUUCGCACUCCAUAAAUUAUCAGAGUCAGAAGCAGCGACAACAACAGAAAUCUCAGAAACAGCAGAAUAAUCAGAACAAGCUGAAUGAUCAGAACCAACAGUCCAAUCAGAACCUGCGGAAUGACCAGAAGCAGCAGGAUGACCAGAACCGGCAGAAUGAGAGGAAACAUCAGCAGAACAAGGAACCCUGUUUACCUACCACUAGAAACAACGCCUUCAACAUUUUCAAGAAAAGGCAUGUCCUAAGGACUGAUAUUUCUGGUACAGAUCCGGACCAAUGGACCGAAUAUCUAAAAACGAAUGGGCUUCUUGGUAGAACUCCAGUGCAGUCAUUUUUUGAAAAGAUAGCCGAGGCAGCUGUCAGUGCCAUUUGCAAUGGAAAAGGCCAUGUUUACAAAGAUAAUCUCUGUAUUAGUGAUGAGAAGUUUGAUGUGUUUAAUGUGAUGAGUAAGAAGGACCAAAAUGGUAAAUUUGUUUUGACUGUUGAAAAGAAGACCCAGCGUGUGGUUGUAGCUUGUGACACUAUUGAUGGUGAAUGUGUGCCUGUUCACUUUGAAAUGUAUAAUAAUCAACAACCACAAAACAUGAUCUGUUAAAAACAGGGCAGAGGUGAAGAUCAAGAUUUCAGGAAGCUGCCAAUCAUCUUUCCUUUUUCAAUCCACCUUACUCCCGAAACUGGAGAUCCAUCUGGUUGUUGACAAUUCUGGACUCCGUAUGUAUAUUCUGUAUAAUAUAUGACUGACAGAAAAAAUAGAAAAGUUUGCUUUUACAUGGCCCAGGAUAUGUCAAGCGCGGUCUAUACUGCCACAUUAAAAUUAAUAAAAUGCAACUUCGGAGGAAAAUACAAAAACAUAUUUCUGAACACGGAGGUGUCAUGACGACGCCCAUUGUUAGUUGGAGAAUAGUAGUAGUUUUAGUAUUUUUUUGUGUUUCUAUCAACAAUCUUCACACUUAUUUGGGAGCUGUUAUUCCCUUGAAUAUCCUUGAACAUUACCGUAAUUUCACAACUAGCAGCUUACACUUUGAUUUUGCAAAAUGUCUUCAGCUAUGAGUUUAAUACAUGGGGCAGUUGAUAUGGUAUUUACAUUGUUCAGUUUCUUUUGACUUGUAUAAAACCACUGUCCUGCUUAUACACAAUGCAGCUUAUACACAGAAAUUACUGUUGAGGAAUGUUUAUGUUGAGACGUUACGCAGCAACUAUAAAACUGUUAAAAAGAAUGAACGUCUGAAAUUUGUGCCAUUCCAAACCUUUCUUUAAUAAAUAUUCAGUGUUU